UACAGAGGGUGCGAGCGUUGUUCGGAAUUAUUGGGCGUAAAGGGCGCGUAGGCGGUGCGGUAAGUCACCUGUGAAAUCUCCUGGCUCAACUGGGAGCUUGCAGGCGAAACUGCCGUGCUGGAGUGUGGGAGAGGUGCGUGGAAUUCCUGGUGUAGCGGUGAAAUGCGUAGAGAUGCGGAGGAACACCGAUGGCGAAGGCAGCCCCCUGGGCUAACACUGACGCUCAGGCACGAAAGCGUGGGGAGCAAACAGG
rnacentral:rRNA from 1 species